rnacentral:rRNA from 1 species
GAUGAACGCUAGCGGCAGGCUUAAUACAUGCAAGUCGAACGGUAAGGUCUCUUCGGAGAUACACGAGUGGCGCACGGGUGCGUAACGCGUAUGCAACCUACCUUUAACUGGGAAAUAGCCCCGAGAAAUCGGGAUUAAUGUCCCAUACUAUUCUUUGAAUGCAUAUUCUGAGAAUGAAAGCUCCGGCGGUUAUUGAUGGGCAUGCGUGACAUUAGCUAGUUGGUGAGGUAACGGCUCACCAAGGCGACGAUGUCUAGGGGUCCUGAGAGGGUUAACCCCCACACUGGUACUGAGACACGGACCAGACUCCUACGGGAGGCAGCAGUAAGGAAUAUUGGGCAAUGGACGCAAGUCUGACCCAGCCAUGCCGCGUGAAGGAUGAAUGUCCUAUGGAUUGUAAACUUCUUUUAUGCAGGAAAAAUAUCCCGGUCGAGAACCGGGACUGAUGGUACCCAAGGAAUAAGCACCGGCUAACUCCGUGCCAGCCGCCGCCGUAACAC